rnacentral:ncRNA from 1 species
UCGGCGUCACUUCACGACGGAUCGUCCGGCACGUGCCUGCCGGUGAAGGAGAUGGA